rnacentral:tRNA from 2 species
GGAGCGGUGGCCGAGCGGUCGAAGGCGGCGGUCUUGAAAACCGUUGUAGGGCAACUUACCGGGGGUUCGAAUCCCUCCCGCUCCG